GACACACACAGAAGAUAGAUACGCUCAGUAGACAAGAAGAAUCAUGCCUGAGAAGUUCAGUGCCACGGUUACCUGGCACCAGGGAUUUGAGUGCAGCAUCAGAUGCAACGUUCUGUACAUUGUACAGCCAGGAGGAGAAGGAAGACACGUGGGAUCUGGCGUCUGUUUUCAUGGAGCACCUCAUUUACAUGAGGAGAAGAAAUGGGGCUACCAACACAAGCCAUUAACCAAUGAAUACAUCAAGAACUAGAAAAUCUGCGUAGACUGAAGUGGUCUCAAAUGUAGAAAAGGAACCUGCAGCUGCAUAACUUUCUUCCUCUGGGUGAACCAAACAACCAUUUCCUGUGCCCCCAAUCGGAGUGCAGACCCUAUUCUAAGAAUACUUACUGUCACCUGUUGAUAGCGUUAGAUCAGUGGUUCUUACACUCCAGGGUGUAUAAAUAUCAUGUAGGCCUAUGCUUCUCAAACUUUACCAUGCAAAAGCUUCACCUGAGAAUUUUUUAAAUGUGGAUUAUAACUCAGAAGAUCUGGGAUAGGGCUGAGAUUCCCAGGCGAGACAGAUGCUACAGGUCUGAGGACCACACUUUGGAUAGCAAGUACCUAGAAAGUUUGUUUAAAAUGCAGAUUCCUGGGCUCAAUCUCCAUGAU